rnacentral:siRNA from 1 species
UAGAGUGCUAACUGCGGCUCC